rnacentral:misc_RNA from 1 species
CUUGAAAAUUAUUGACCGCAAGAAGAAUAUUUUCAAGCUUUCUCAAGGAGAAUAUGUUGCCGUGGAAAAUUUGGAGAAUAUUUAUGGUCUUGUAUCUUCUAUAGACAUGAUCUGGGUCUACGGGAACAGUUUCGAGUCCUUUCUAGUUGCAGUUGCUAACCCCAACAAGCUAGCACUCGAACGUUGGGCAGACGAAAAUGGUAUCGAAG